GAUGAACGCUGGCGGCGUGCCUAAUACAUGCAAGUCGAGCGAACAGACGAGGAGCUUGCUCCUUCGACGUUAGCGGCGGACGGGUGAGUAACACGUAGGUAACCUACCUAUAAGACUGGGAUAACUUCGGGAAACCGGAGCCAAUACCGGAUAAUAUUUCGAACCGCAUGGUUCGAUAGUGAAAGAUGGCUUUGCUGUCACUUAUAGAUGGACCUGCGCCGUAUUAGCUAGUUGGUAAGGUAACGGCUUACCAAGGCAACGAUACGUAGCCGACCUGAGAGGGUGAUCGGCCACACCGGAACUGAGACACGGUCCAGACUCCUACGGGAGGCAGCAGUAGGGAAUCUUCCGCAAUGGGCGAAAGCCUGACGGAGCAACGCCGCGUGAGUGAUGAAGGUCUUCGGAUCGUAAAACUCUGUUAUUAGGGAAGAACAAACGUGUAAGUAACUGUGCACGUCUUGACGGUACCUAAUCAGAAAGCCACGGCUAACUACGUG
rnacentral:rRNA from 1 species